rnacentral:misc_RNA from 1 species
UAAUGGAAGAAACGAGAAAGCCACCUAACCAUGACUUUAUGGUUUGCCCACCUUUUCACAAGCUCUCUCAACAUAAACUCAUCAUGCUUCUCUCUUAAGGAUGGCAAUACCGUCGAAGUGAUGUAUUCUUCAAAAGACUCACGGUACUUGUCAUACAGUUGUUGGGAGUAAUCAUGAGGGGGCUUUUGUGUACACAUGUUGUAAAUGGUUGUGUAGAGCAUCAUGUAGUCCUCAGAGCUGAACUUUGGCUCUGGCAACCCUUCUAGGAUGUUCUUCAGCUUUGUUAUCCCCUUUUG